rnacentral:rRNA from 1 species
CGUGUAGGCGGUCAGGUAAGUGAGAUGUGAAAUGCCCCGGCUCACCCGGGGACCUGCAUCUCAUACUGCUUGGCUUGAGUACGGGAGAGGAUGUGGGAAUUCCUGGUGUAGCGGUGAAAUGCGUAGAUAUCAGGAGGAACACCGGUGGCGAAGGCGCACAUCUGGCCCGAUACUGACGCUGAGGCGCGAAAGCUAGGGGAGCAAACG